UACGAAGGGGGCUAGCGUUGCUCGGAAUCACUGGGCGUAAAGCGCACGUAGGCGGAUUGCUAAGUCAGGGGUGAAAUCCUGGAGCUCAACUCCAGAACUGCCUUUGAUACUGGCGACCUUGAGUCCGGGAGAGGUGAGUGGAACUGUGAGUGUAGAGGUGAAAUUCGUAGAUAUUCGCAAGAACACCAGUGGCGAAGGCGGCUCACUGGCCCGGUACUGACGCUGAGGUGGCGAAAGCGUGGGGAGCAAACAGG
rnacentral:rRNA from 1 species